CCCUUUUCCGGUUGAUCCUGCCGGACCCGACUGCUAUCAGAGUGAGAUUAAGCCAUGCGAGUCAACGUAUGAAUAAUACGUGGCGAACGGCUCAGUAACACGUAGUCAACAUGCCCAGAGGACGUGGAUAACCUCGGGAAACUGAGGAUAAACCGCGAUAGGUCAUAAUUACUGGAAUGUGUUAUGGCCCAAAUCUAUAUGGCCUCUGGAUUGGACUGCGGCCGAUCAGGCUGUUGGUGAGGUAAUGGCCCACCAAACCUUUUACCGGUACGGGCUCUGAGAGGAGGUGCCCGGAGAUGGGCACUGAGACAAGGGCCCAGGCCCUAUGGGGCGCAGCAGGCGCGAAACCUCUGCAAUAGGCGAAAGCCUGACAGGGUUACUCUGAGUGAUUCCCGCUAAGGGAAUCUUUUGGCAUCUCUAAAAAUGGUGCAGAAUAAGGGGUGGGCAAGUCUGGUGUCAGCCGCCGCGGUAAUACCAGCACCCCGAGUGGUCGGGACGAUUAUUGGGCCUAAAGCAUCCGUAGCCGGUCUUGCAAGUCUUCCGUUAAAUCCAGCUGCUUAACAGAUGGGCUGCGGAGGAUACUACAAGGCUAGGAGGCGGGAGAGGCAAGCGGUACUCAGUGGGUAGGGGUAAAAUCCUCUGAUCCAAUGAAGACCACCAGUGGCGAAGGCGGCUUGCCAGAACGCGCUCGACGGUGAGGGAUGAAAGCUGGGGGAGCAAACCGGAUUAGAUACCCGGGUAGUCCCAGCUGUAAACGAUGCAGACUCGGUGAUGGGCCGGCUUUAUGCCGGCUCAGUGCCG
rnacentral:rRNA from 1 species